GAUGAAGAACGUAGCGAAAUGCGAUAAUUAAUGUGAAUUGCAGAAUUCAGUGAAUCAUCGAGUCUUUGAACGCACAUUGCGCCCCCUGGUAUUCCGGGGGGCAUGCCUGUCCGAGCGUCAUUGCUGCCCUCAAGCACGGCUUGUGUGUUGGGCUUCCGUCCCUGGCAACGGGGACGGGCCCAAAAGGCAGUGGCGGCACCAUGUCUGGUCCUCGAGCGUAUGGGGCUUUGUCACCCGCUCCCGUAGGUCCAGCUGGCAGCUAGCCUCGCAACCAAUCUUUUUAACCAGGUUGACCUCGGAUCAGGUAGGGAUACCCGCUGAACUUAAGCAUAUCAAUAAGCGGAGGA
rnacentral:misc_RNA from 1 species